rnacentral:lncRNA from 1 species
GACACUAUAAGGUCCUUUUGUAGUAGUGUUCUCUACGAUCUAAAAUACAUUGUUAGUGAAUAGGGUUUAGCAUUGGAAUAGUGCGCGUAUUGUGAAAGCAUAAACAAUCCUUAUAUAGCUACUAGGAUAUCUCUCAAUAAAGUGUAUUAUUAAAUGAGAUAUACUUAUAAUGACAAUCAUAUAUUUUAUAUCCUACUAUUAUGUGUGGGGAUAAAAUUGUCCAGCCUCACUCUUGGGGUCUUUUGAUAUGGGUCCAAUUGGACUAAAAAUUGGACUUAUUUCAAAAGUCAAAAGUCAUUAAAAAUUGGACCUAUUUCAAAAGAUGGGCUUUAAAAUUGGACCUCUUUCAAAUUUUCCCUUCUUCUAUUUACCUUCUUCUCUCUUCGUCUCUCCUCACUCUCUAAUUGUAGCUUCACCUUCUCCUCUCCUCUAUCUUCAACCAUUUUUCUAGGGAGAAUAUAAACAAUCAUAGCAAUUGUGUCUAGCCUUAUUUUUUCAGCUACUGGGCUAUACAAAACUGUUUAAAAUUAACUCCAAUGGAUGGUGAAAAGGACUUGCUGGUAGUAGAGGUGAUGAAAUUGAUCCAUUGGCCUCUAUCUUCCAACUUCUUCAAUCUUUUAUCGAAGCAUGCUGAGACCUAGCUAGAUAAUAAAUAAAAAAUACUGUAGAAAUCAAACUCAUGGGUUUGCCAAAGAUGCCACCCAGGGCCGUCUAUGAGAUUUCGGGGGCUCUGUGCGAAAUUUAUAAAAUAGCUCAUUUUUAGGACAAUAUAUUGGUACUAGAAAGUAAUAACUUAAAUCAAAACAAACUUUAGGAUUCACUAAUUGUAAGUUUACAAAUGUCAUUAAAUAAUAAGUAAAAAGAGUUACAAACAUAACCUUCACUAAAUGCUUAAAAGCAGUAUAAUCUUAGGCAACCAAAUAAGAACAAAAAAAAACUUCAAAAACUCUAACUUUAAAGUUUCACUUAAAUAUAUAGCAUUAUUAUAUAAUAAAAUGAAAAGAAAAUCAUUUUU